UACAGAGGUGGCAAGCGUUGUUCGGAAUUACUGGGCGUAAAGGGCGCGUAGGCGGUUCGCUAAGUUGGAUGUGAAAACUCUGGGCUCAACCCAGAGCCUGCAUCCAAAACUGGCGGGCUAGAGUUCUGGAGGGGGUAGCGGAAUUCCUGGUGUAGCGGUGAAAUGCGUAGAUAUCAGGAGGAACACCGGUGGCGAAGGCGGCUACCUGGACAGAAACUGACGCUGAGGCGCGAAAGCUAGGGGAGCAAACAGG
rnacentral:rRNA from 1 species